UGAAUUGUACAUUGCGUUUUGGAUCAUGGGUAUGGAAGAAACAUCUUAGACUGCUUCUCUAUCUUGAAAAGAAAGUUAUAAAGAUUUGACUAUCUCCAUGGUGUUCCAGAGACGGAGUAGACUCAUGCAGGAUUGUGUCCCUACUAAACUGAUCCCUAUCUCUUUCACAACCACCCAGCACCAAACCAGCUGUCAGUUUACCAGGAUUGUUGUGUGCAAAGGCUAGAUGUACAACAAUGUGAAUAUGGUCGCUUUCAGCUCUGCCUCCCACGACAUGGACGAUGGUCCACCACCAUUUCUGAAGCUGGGAGAGACGCUCUGAAGCAGUGUAUGAAGCCGGGUUUGCUCUGACAGAUGUUGGCUCUCCCACCAAGCGUGGGCCAUAGCCAUUAAAAGAUUCCACAACUUCCA